rnacentral:rRNA from 1 species
GGUAACAUUUCUAGCUUGCUAGAAGAUGACGAGUGGCGGACGGGUGAGUAAUGCUUGGGAACUUGCCUUUGCGAGGGGGAUAACAGUUGGAAACGACUGCUAAUACCGCAUAAUGUCUUCGGACCAAACGGGGCUUCGGCUCCGGCGCAAAGAGAGGCCCAAGUGAGAUUAGCUAGUUGGUAAGGUAACGGCUUACCAAGGCGACGAUCUCUAGCUGUUCUGAAAGGAAGAUCAGCCACACUGGGACUGAAACACGGCCCAGACUCCUACGGGAGGCAGCAGUGGGGAAUAUUGCACAAUGGGGGAAACCCUGAUGCAGCCAUGCCGCGUGUGUGAAGAAGGCCUUCGGGUUGUAAAGCACUUUCAGUUGUGAGGAAAAGUUAGUAGUUAAUACCUGCUAGCCGUGACGUUAACAACAGAAGAAGCACCGGCUAACUCCGUGCCAGCAGCCGCGGUAAUACGGAGGGUGCGAGCGUUAAUCGGAAUUACUGGGCGUAAAGCGCACGCAGGCGGUUUGUUAAGCUAGAUGUGAAAGCCCCGGGCUCAACCUGGGAUGGUCAUUUAGAACUGGCAGACUAGAGUCUUGGAGAGGGGAGUGGAAUUCCAGGUGUAGCGGUGAAAUGCGUAGAUAUCUGGAGGAACAUCAGUGGCGAAAGCGGACUCCCUGGCCAAAGACUGACGCUCAUGUUGCCGAAAGUGUGGGGUAGCGAACAGGAUUAGAUACCCUGGGUAGUCCACACCGGUAAACGCUGUCUACUAGCUGUGUG